AGGCUCCCAUGAUUCUGAAUGGAGUCUGUGUUAUCUGGAAAGGCUGGAUUGAUCUCCAAAGACUGGAUGGUAUGGGCUGUCUGGAGUUUGAUGAGGAGCGAGCCCAGCAGGAGGAUGCAUUAGCACAACAGGCCUUUGAAGAGGCUCGGAGAAGGACACGCGAAUUUGAAGAUAGAGACAGGUCUCAUCGGGAGGAAAUGGAGGUGAGAGUUUCACAGCUGCUGGCAGUAACUGGCAAGAAGACAACAAGACCCUAGUCCUGGUUCCAAUUUAGGUGGUGGUGAUGACCUCAAACUUCGUUAAUUAAUAGCACAGCAGAUGUGUGCUGCCCAUCUUUACAUACACAUUGCUUCUAGUUGGCAGAAAUAAUUGAUUAAAAGACCAGAAACUGUGAUAACUGGAGGUACUACGGUCUAUUUCUCAACCUUAGGCAGUAAUAGACAUCACAAACUGCCAUGGUUUUGCACUAUGAUUAUAAUACCUGCAUUUCUAAUUUUUUAAGCAUGUAGCCAGUAAUAAUUUGAAGUUUUUUUUCUAUGCAAGCUUACCUUGUUGGCAUUAUUUUAGGGAGUUGAAACUAUCAACUGUAAAGCUCCUUUUCUUCCACUUUAAUUUAAAAGUUCAUGUCAUUUAAAAACAAGUCAAGAAAUUAAAAUUGUAUCAGAGGGUUUUCUCUAAUCAUUUUUUCUAUUUUUUUUUUUGUACUUCUAGAUGUUUUGGUUAUACAGCUUCAUUUUAGAUGAGCAUUCUUAUUUUUUGUUUUGUUUGCCCCAUUUCCUUUUGUGUUUUUAUAGUCUAUAGCAUUUUAAAACUGCUGAUGUUGUUUGCAUUAUUUACAGGCUAAAAACUUAGUAGCAUAGAGCUGUCUGCCACAGCCUUCUGACAAAGUUUACAGUUAUUAAAGUUGCAGUAUCCUUUUAAAUGCUAGUAAUCAGCACUCUUUCUUUUUUUUUUUUUUAAUAGAGACAGGGUCUCGCAGUGUUGCCCAGGCUGGUCUCGAACUCCUGGCAUCAAGCGAUCCUCCUGCCUUAGCCUCCCAGAGUACUGGGAUUACAGGCUCUUUCUUUUUAAACAUAAAAGUUUUAAAUUGGUAUUAACUCUGUACUCUGCCCUAGAUUGUUUUAGCUUCUGUUCUGUAAUCAUGAGUUUGGUUGGAGAUAUUCUCCAUAGAUGAUCUUCUACUGAAAUGCCUAAAGAAGUCACAGGCUGGCUUCUGUUUUAUUCAGGGAUUUUUUUAAAAAGUCAAUCAGAAAAGGGAUACUGGAGCUUCUUCAUGUAUGUAACAGCAUAUUAAACUGGAGACAGUGAUGAAUCAGCUACAAAGGUAAUAUUGUAUUAAAAUCAUGUUUAAGAUAGCUGCUUUUAUGUGUAUUUUAUAUUGCAUGCUUUUGUAAAAACAUGCUGGGUGAUGAAAGAUUAGUUUUAGAGAGAAAAUGUUCAUCUGUGCAGAGGAUGCAUUUUCUUCCAUUAAUUCUGGAAAAAACGUUCACAGUUAUAUAUAUGGUAUUUUGCAAAAGGACUAUUAAUAGAACCUUUUGAGAUGAAUUAAUGUAAGAAUAUUUUUUAAAUAGGCUUACUGUCAAAUUGCAACUUUUUUUUUAGAUACAGAGUGGAAAACAGUGCUAAGUCAUUUGGCACCUCCUUACAAAUAUUUUUCAUGGUCACAUUUAUUAAAUGUUACUACAUUUCUGAAUUUUUGAAAAAUGUAUUUUAUCAUUAAAUGGCAUUAUUUUAAAGGGUGAAAAACUGACACAGUCAAUUCAGAAAAUGGACUGAAGUCUGAAUAAGGUCAUUGCAUUUAAAAAGCAUAUAACUGUACUUGACUGAUGAGGGAGGUGUUACUUUCAUUGUAUAUAGGUCUUAUUUCAUAAACAGAUAUCCUGUAUCAAAUAAAAGU
rnacentral:lncRNA from 1 species